GAUCAGAGGAGGGUGAUGAAAGGUGUUGAUGAUUUAGACUUCUUCAUUGGUGAUAAAGCAAUAGAAAAACCUACAUAUGCAACAAAGGGGCCAAUUCAUCAUGGUGUACUUGAAGAUUGGGGUUUAAUGGAAAGGUUUACAGAGGAAGUGAUCUUUAAAUAUUUAAGAGCAGAACCUGAAGACCAUUUUUUUCUUUUGACUGAACCUCCACUGAAUACUACAGAAAACAGGGAAUAUACUGCUGAAAUAAUGUUUGAGUCCUUCAGUGUUCCAGGCUUGUACAUUGAUGUGCAGGCUGUUCUUGCCUUAGCUGCAUCCUAGACCUCAAGCCAAGUUGGAGAACGAACAUUGACUGGUACAGAAAUAGACAGCGGUGAUGGUGUUACUCAUGUUAUUCCUGUGGCUGAAGGGUAUGUGAUUGGCAGCUGUAUUUUUAAGCAUAUUGCAAUUGUGGGAUGAGAUAUAACAUCCAGCUGUUGAGAGAUCGAGAAGUAGGAAUCCCUCCAGAACAAUCUCUGGAAACUGCUAAGGCAGUAAAGGAGUGCUAUAGUUAUGUAUGCCCAGAUUUAGUAAAAGAGUUUAACAAGUAUGACACAGAUGGAUCAAAAUGUAUUAAACAGUAUACUGGAAUCAAUGCCAUGUCAAAGAAAGAGUUUUCCAUUGAUGUUGGUUAUGAGAGAUUCUUGGGACCUGAAAUCUUUUUUCAUCCUGAGUUUGCUAAUUCAGACUUCACACAACCUAUUUCAGAAGUUGUAGAUGAAGUAAUUCAGAAUUGUCCUAUUGAUGUCUGAUGUUCUCUCAACAAGAAUAUUAUCCUCUCUGGAGGCCCAACCAUGUUCAGGGACUUUGGACGCCACUUGCAAAGAGAUCUCAAAAGAGCUGUAGAUGCCAGGCUGAAAUUCAGUGAGGAAUUGAGUGGCAAUAGAUUGAAGCCAAAACCAAUUGAUGUACAAGUUAUCACACACCAUAUGCAGCGAUAUGCAGUUUGGUUUGGAGGAUCAAGGCUGGCUUCCACACCUGAGUUCUACCAUGUAUGCACACCAAAAAGGAUUAUGAAGAAAUUGGACCUAGCAUUUGUCAUCACAAUCCAGUGUUUGGAAUCAUGUUGUAA